AUUGAACGCUGGCGGCAUGCCUUACACAUGCAAGUCGAACGGCAGCACGGGGGCAACCCUGGUGGCGAGUGGCGAACGGGUGAGUAAUGCAUCGGAACGUGCCCAGUAGUGGGGGAUAACCCGGCGAAAGCCGGGCUAAUACCGCAUACGACCUAAGGGUGAAAGCGGGGGACCGUAAGGCCUCGCGCUAUUGGAGCGGCCGAUGUCUGAUUAGCUAGUUGGCGGGGUAAGAGCCCACCAAGGCGACGAUCAGUAGCUGGUCUGAGAGGACGACCAGCCACACUGGGACUGAGACACGGCCCAGACUCCUACGGGAGGCAGCAGUGGGGAAUUUUGGACAAUGGGCGCAAGCCUGAUCCAGCCAUGCCGCGUGCGGGAAGAAGGCCUUCGGGUUGUAAACCGCUUUUGGCAGGAACGAAACGGCGCAAGCCAAUACCUUGCGCUAAUGACGGUACCUGCAGAAUAAGCACCGGCUAACUACGUGCCAGCCGCCGCGGUAAAAC
rnacentral:rRNA from 1 species